GAGAGAGCAUCUCACUCCCUCACCCAGGCUGGAGUACAGAGGUGGCUCACUGCAACCUCCACCUCCUGGGCUCAAGCGAUUCUCCUGCCUCAGCCUCCUGAGUAGCUGGGAUUACGGGCAUCCGCCACCAUUCCUGGCUAAUUUUUGUAUUUUUAGUAAAGACGGGGUUUCACCAUAUUGGCCAGGCUGGUCUCGAGCUCCCAGCCUCAGGUGAUCCGCCUGCCUCACCCUCCCAAAGUGCUGGUAUUACAGGUGUGAGCCACCACACCCGGCCAAUUUCCACACUUUAAUUUCACUCAAGUAAAAGCAGGAUCACAUUCCUGACAUAAGAACUAAUAUUUCACAUCAUUAGUUUGGAUUCGAUAUGUUCUUGAUUGGUUGUUUCUCGGGAAUAGUAACUCAUCUUUCCUACGUGUUAUUUCUCUUUUAUUGAUUGAGGAAAUAAAUGUAAUGACCAUCAUAGAUCUGUGACGAAUAUCUCUUUCCUGUGUUCAGUAAGACAGGUGUACAUAGGUGUAAUUCAAAACCGUAACGACGCCGGGCGCAGCAGCUCACACCGGUAAUCCUAACACUUUGGGAGGCCAAGAUGGGUGGAUCACUUGAGGUCAGGAGUUCGAGACCAGCCUGGCCAACAUGGUGAAGCCGCACGUCUACUAAAAAUACAAAAAUUACCUGGGCGUUGGUGGUGCGUGCCUGUUAUCCCAGCUACUUGAGAGGCUGAGGCAGGAGAAUUGCUUGAACCUGGGAGGCAGAGGUUAUGGUGAGCUGAGACUGCGCCACUGCACUCCAGCCUGGGCAACAAGAGCGAAACCCCACCUCACAACUCAAUUACACAAACUUUUUUAGAACAUAGAGGAGGAACAAUUGUCCAACUUGUUAUGAAGCCAACAUAACAUGCCCAAAACUAACAAAGAUAGUAUAAAAACAAAAAUUACAGACCAAUAUUUUCAUGAAUAUAUGUGCAAAAAUCCUUCACAAAAUACAAGCAAAUUGAAUCCAAUAUAUCAUGACCAAGUAGAGUUUAUUACAGGAGUGCAAGUGUAGUUUAACAUUAAAAAAUCAGUAUAUCUGGCAAUUCCAUGCGUAUGUAUAUAUCCAAGAUAAAUGAAAACAUGUCCACAUAAAAAUGUAUAUGGGAAUGUUCAUAGCAGCAUUAUUUAUAAUAGCCUCAAAUUGGAAACAGCCCAAAAGUCUAUCACCAGAUGAACAAAUAAACAAAAUAUGAUGUAAGCACACAAGGGAAUACGAUAUAAGCACACAUGGGAAUACGACGUAAGCACACAAGGGAAUAUGAUGUAAGCACACAAGGGAAUAUGAUGUAAGCACACAAGGGAAUAUGCUUUGGCAAUGAAAAGAAAUGGAGUGAUGUCAUAGGUGGUGGUAUAUUAGGAAGUGCCAGGAAGCCAUCUUUCCACUUAACGACCAUUGCGUUGUCAGGAACUGUUCCGAGUCAUUAUUGUGGAACUGGGGUCUAGUUGAACAUGUGCAACAUCCAGGAGAGAACCCAAUUUUUGGCUUUGUCGGUAGUGCCUCAAAUCCCCACUUCCCAGCCCCACAGCAGGCAGCUGAGAGAAGGGUGGUCUCUAUUCCUGGGGUGGCUUCCGGAAGCCGGGGUGGGCAAUAAGAACCUUGUCUUCCAAACCUCAGGAUUCUGUAUUUUGAUGGCUGAUUGCUGCUUUUGACUGGGGAAGGUGACUGCUGAGGUAAUAGAACAAAAACCUUAGUGACCACACAUAACAAGGCAUGCUUCGCAAAAAAUAGUUCGGAAAAGUCACAAUGGAUGGCUCCAACACUCAAUAAACAAGGUUCUGCAACCCCUGAGGACUGAGAGAAUUAGAUCUCCAGAGUUACUGCAACACAGUGUUCAAAUAUUUCCAGUUCUCAAUGAGGAAAUUACAAAACAGAGAAACAAGAAUGUGUAGCCUACACACGGAGAGGGGGAGAAACCAAUUUGACAGAAAUUAGCCCCUGAGGAAGCCCAGACACUGGAAUUAUUCGUCCAAGAUGUUAAAUCAACUGUGUUAAAUAUGUCAAUGAGCUAAAGGAAACUAUGGAAAAAAAAUAAAGGAAAUCAAGAAAACUAUACAUGAACCAAUGAGAAUAUCAAUAAAGAGAUAGAAAUUAUUACAAGCAACCAAAUAGAAAAUCUGGAGCUGAAAAAUAAAAUAACUGAAAUAAAAAAGUUGCUAUAGAGUGGGGCAUGGUGGCUCAUGCCUAUAAUCUCAGCACUUUGGGAGGCUGAGGCAUGUGGAUCACUUCAGCUCAGGAAUUUGAGACCAGCCUGGGCAACACGGCAAUACCCCAGCUCUACAAAAAACACAAAAAUUAGCUGGGUGUGGUGGCACGUACUUAUAGUCUCAGCUACUCAGGGGGCUGAGGAGGUGGGAGAAUCGCUUGAGCCUGUCAAGUCAAGGCUACAGUGAGCCAUGUUUGUGCCACUGCACUCCAGCCUGAGUGACGAAUGAGACUCUGUCUCAAAAAAAAAAAAAAAGAAAAGAAAAUCAAUCUAGGGGUUCACAUUUGAGCAGGCAGAAGAAAGGAUCAGUAAACUGUAAUAUAAGAAAAUUAGAACUCCCCAGUCUGGCAGGUGCAGUGGUUUACACCUGUAAUCUCUGUUCUUUGGGAGGUUGGGGCAGGAGGAUCAAUUGAGACCUGGGCAAGAUGGCAAGAUCCCAUCUGUAAAAAAAAAAAAAAAAAUUCUUCUUUUAAAUUAGCCAGGUGUGGUGGCAGGUACUAUAGUCCCAGCUACUUGGAAUGUGGAGGUGGGAGGAUUGCUUGAGCCAGGAGUUGGGGAUUAGAGUGAGCUAUGAUCACACCACUGUCCUCUAGCCUGGGCAACAGGGUGAGACUCUGUCUCUAAAACAACGAACUAUCCAAUCUGAAGAGCAGAGUGGAAAAAGAAUGAAGAAAAAUAAACAACAGAGCCUGAGGUCCCUGUGGGAUACCAUUAAACAUGCCAACAUGUAAAUUAUAAAAGUCCCAGAAGAAGGCAGAGAUAAACGGGAAGAAAAAACAUUUGAAGAAAUGAUGGUUAAAACUUUCCAAAUCUGAGGAAAACCAUGAAUACACACAUCUAAGAAGCUCAGUGAACUUCAGGUAGGAUAUACUCAAAUAAAUGCACACUGAGACAUAUAAUCAAGUUAUCAAAACCCAAAGGAAGAAUAGGAGAAUUUUGAAAGCAGCAAAAGAGAACUGACACAUCACAUCACAUAGAAGAGGAGCCUUGGUAAGAUGAUUACCAGCCGCAUUCAAGAGGGCCUGGGUAAGAUUACCAGCUGCUUCUCUUCGGAAACCAUGGAGGCCAGAGGCAAUGGGGAUGACAUGAAGUUCUGAAAGAAAAAAACUGGCAACCAAGAAUUCUAUAUCUGCCAAAGCUGUUCUUCAACAAUGAAGGAGAAAAUAAAGACAUUUCCAGAUGAACAACAGCUCAGGGAGCUCAUUACCAGUAUAACCGAUCUGCAAGAAACGCUAAGUGGUAUAAGGCUGAAAUGAAAGGACACUGGACAGCGACUCAAGCCAUGAGACCAAAAGACAGAGCAGUGGUAAAGGGAACUAUGUGGAUAAAUAUAAAAGCCAGUAUUAUUGUACUUUCGGCAUUCCUUGUGGCUUUUCUCUUUUUCUUAUAUAAUAGGCAAAUGCACAAAACAAUAAUUACAAAUCUAUGUUAAUCAGUACACAAUGUAUAAAGAAGUAAUCUGUGACAAUAACAUAUAAAGAGGGAAAGACAGAUUUAUAGGAGCAUAGUAUAUACUAUUGGAUCUAAGCUGGUAUUAUUCAAACUAGGUUGUUACAAAUUUAAGGCUGGGCGUGGUGGCUCAUGCCUGUAAUCCCAGCACUUUGGGUGGCCGAGGCAGGUGGAUCACUUGAGGCCAGUAUUAGAGGCCAGCCUGCCCAACACGGUGAAACGCUGUCUUUACUAAAAAUACAAAAAUUAGCUGGGUGUGGUGGUGGAUGCCUGUAAUCCCAGCUACUUGGGAGGCUGAGGCAGGAGAAUCACUUGAACCCAGGAGGUGGAGGCUGCGGUGAGCCGAGAUUGCUCUACUGCACUCCAGCCUGGGCGACAGAGUGAGACCCUGUCUCAAAACAAAACAAAACAAAACAAAACAAAACAAAACAAAACAAAACUAGGUUGUUAUACAUUUAAGAUGUGAAUUGUAGCCCCCAUGUUAACCGUUAAUAAUUUAAAAAUGUACAGAAAUGGAAUGAUGACAGGAGUUUAAAAAGUACACUUAAAAAAAUACAAAAAGGCAGUAAUGAAGGUAUUGAGGAAUUUUUAAAAUGUAAGACAUACAAAAACAAAUGCAUAAAUGGCAAAAGAAAAUAUAGUUUUAUCACUAAUAUUAAAUGUAACUGAAUUAAACUCUCCUAUGAAAAGGCUGGGAUUGGCAGAUUGGAUUUAAAAAAAAAAAACAAGAUCCAUCUAUACGUUGUCAACAAGAGAUUCACUCUAGAUGUAAGGACAUAAUGUUGGAAGUAAAAUGAUGAAAAAAGGUAUUUUACCAAAUAGUAAUUAAAAGAGAGCUGAGUGGUUGUAUUAUUAUCAAUAAAAUAGACUUUAAAAUGAUUACAAAAUACAAAAAAGGGCAUUAUAUAGUGAUAAAAGAUUUGACACAAACUUGUUUUGGCACCUGGCCAAAAACAAGUUUUAAUACAUUUCAACAGACUGAAAUCAGACAAAGCAUUUUUUCCAAUCACAAUGGAAUGAAACUAGAAAUGAAUAACAAUGAAAACUUGAAAAUUCACACAUAUAUGGAAAUUAACACUUUUUUUUUUUUUUUUGAGAUGGAGUCUUGCUCUGUUGCCCAGGCUGGAGUGCAAUGGCACGAUCUCGGCUGACUGCAACCUCUGCCUCCCAGGUUCAAGCGAUUCUCCUGCCUCAGCCUCCUGAGUAGCUGGGAUUACAGACGUGUGCCACCAUGCCCAGCUAAUUUUUGUAUUUUUAGUAGAGACGGUUUCACCAUGUUGGCCAGGCUGAUCUUGAACUCCUGACCUUGUGAUCUGCCCACCUCGACCGCCCAAAGCGUUGGGAUUACAGGCAUGAACUACUGCACCCGGCCGGAAAUUAACACUCUUAAAUACAAAUGAGCUAACAAAGAAUCACAAGAGAAAUUAGAUAAUACCUUAAGAUAAAUAAAUGAAGAAGAAAAUAUACCUACCAAAACUUAUGAGAUGCAACAAAAACAGCAUUAAGAGGGAAAUUUAUAGUUGUAAAUCUAUACAUGAAAGAAAAAUACUGCAAACAGUGGAUUAGUGUCCCCUACGAUUGCAGACUUGUAUUAUUACUUCUUCUUCUACUAAUUUUUUUUUUUUUUUUUUGAGAUGGAGUCUCACUCUGUCACCAGGCUGGAGUGCAGUGGCGUGAUCUCAGCUCACUGCAACCUCUGCCUCCUGGGUUCAAGUGAUUCUCCUGUCUCAACUUCCCGAGUAUCUGGGACCACAGACACACAUCACCACACCCAGCUAAUUUUUGUAUUUUUUAGUAGACACGGGGUUUCACCAUGUUGGCCAGGAUGGUCUUGAUCUGUUGACCUCGUGAUCCACCCAUCUCGGCCUCCCAAAGUGCUGGGAUUUCAGGCGUGAGCCACUGUGCCCCACCGGACUUGUAUAUUACUUCUAUAGUUAUAAGCUAUAAACCACAGUUUAUAGUUCUGUAAGCUUUACAUAACUGAAAUUCAUGCUUUUAGAUAUUUACAAAUUUAUGAGCUGCCUAUGGAAUUGAUCUUUUUAUUACUUUGAAAUGCGUAUCUUUAUAUCUUGUAAUUCUACUUUAGAUCUACUUUGUCCAAUAUUAAUAUAGCCAUAUAAUUUUUCCCUUGGUUAAUAUUUGCAUGAUCUAUUUUCAUCCUUUCAGUUUUAGACUAUGUAUGUCUACAUACUUAAAAUGUUUCUUUUGUAAAUAAAAUAUGGCUGUGUUUUAUUUUUUAUGUA
rnacentral:lncRNA from 1 species